GGACCCGCACAAGCGGUGGAGCAUGUGGUUUAAUUCGAUGCAAACGCGAAAAACCUUACCUACUCUUGACAUACUUGGGAGCUCUUGUAAUGAGAGUGUGCCUUUUGGAACCAAGAUACAGGUGCUGCAUGGCUGUCGUCAGCUCGUGUCGUGAGAUGUUCCGUUAAGUCGGAUAACGAGCGCAACCCUACCCUUAUUUGCCAGCGAUUCGGUCGGGAACUAUAAGGGGACUGCCGGUGAUAAACCGGAGGAAGGUGAGGACGACGUCAAGUAUCAUGGCCCUUACGAGUAGGGCUACACACGUGCUACAAUGGGGAAUACAGACGGACGCUAAGCCGCGAGGUGGUGU
rnacentral:rRNA from 1 species